GACGAACGCUGGCGGCGUGCCUAAUACAUGCAAGUUGAGCGAUGAAGAUUGGUGCUUGCACCAAUUUGAAGAGCAGCGAACGGGUGAGUAACGCGUGGGGAAUCUGCCUUUGAGCGGGGGGCAACAUUUGGAAACGAAUGCUAAUACCGCAUAACAACUUUAAACAUAAGUUUUAAGUUUGAAAGAUGCAAUUGCAUCACUCAAAGAUGAUCCCGCGUUGUAUUAGCUAGUUGGUGAGGUAAAGGCUCACCAAGGCGAUGAUACAUAGCCGACCUGAGAGGGUGAUCGGCCACAUUGGGACUGAGACACGGCCCAAACUCCUACGGGAGGCAGCAGUAGGGAAUCUUCGGCAAUGGACGAAAGUCUGACCGAGCAACGCCGCGGGAGUGAAGAAGGUUUUCGGAUCGUAAAACUCUGUUGGUAGAGAAGAACGUUGGUGAGAGUGGAAAGCUCAUCAAGUGACGGUAACUACCCAGAAAGGGACGGCUAACUACGUG
rnacentral:rRNA from 1 species